UUUUUCUUUCUUUCUUUCCCCCUAGACCUGGUGUCCCACGCUGAAUGCAGCAUGCUUCAUUUCUAGAUCUGACUGAAAGGGAAUAUGGAAAUUAAUUGUCUGAGGCUGCUCACAGCCUUUUACACACUCCUGUACCCUGUGAGAGGUGCCGUGCAAUUGCUUUCCCGUCGUGGCUCCCCACCAGCCGCCUGUCUUCUCACAAGCUGCUGCGGCUGCUCCUGGCCCGGGUACCAGAGAUGGAUGUCCCCUUCCUCUCCCUAUUGUGCAAGAGGGAGGGCAGCUGGCAGGGCUGUCCUCCUGAGGGCUGGAACUGCCCCCGAUUGACUAAAACCAGGCCAGAUUUAGUGACUUCUCCAGCUUUUGAUGCACAGACUGAAGAUGGUGGUUCUGCUGUCCCAUGCUGAGCACUGCACACUGUCCUGAGGAGAUGUCCCAUCUCCCUGUGGAGCUCUCCCAGCUCCAUGAAAAAGACAAAGCUCUACAGAAGAAAGGCCUUGCCUCCAUGUCACGCAUGUGGGAGGUCUGAAAGGACCAAGGCCUCGCAGCCAGCCAGGCAGGAAGGUGAUGUCAGGAAGGCCAGGAGCACCUACAGAAUGAGGAGACACCCAUGGUUCAGAGACACAACUGCUCUGGGAGUGCCUCAGCACUUGCUGGGCGGUGAUGGGCUCCUUUGAAGGGUGGAUGGUGCAAACCUGACCCUGACUCAGUCCCUCGCUGGAAGGGCAAAGCUGAGCUCUAAUAUAUGGGAGAACGUGGUUUGUCAUUUGUGCUGAUUGCUUUUUCUUUGGCAGCACUUCAAAAAGUGGCUUUUAGAGACCUGAAGAAGGACUUCUGUGCCCAGAAGCUUGUCUAAUUUUCCCAUCUAUAAUCAGUUGGUCUAAUAAAAGAUAUUGUCUCUACA